UACGUAUGGUGCAAGCGUUAUCCGGAUUUACUGGGUGUAAAGGGAGCGCAGGCGGUACGGCAAGUCUGAUGUGAAAGCCCGGGGCUCAACCCCGGUACUGCAUUGGAAACUGUCGGACUAGAGUGUCGGAGGGGUAAGUGGAAUUCCUAGUGUAGCGGUGAAAUGCGUAGAUAUUAGGAGGAACACCAGUGGCGAAGGCGGCUUACUGGACGAUGACUGACGCUGAGGCUCGAAAGCGUGGGGAGCAAACAGG
rnacentral:rRNA from 1 species